rnacentral:rRNA from 1 species
UACGUAGGGUGCAAGCGUUGUCCGGAAUUAUUGGGCGUAAAGAGCUCGUAGGCGGCUUGUCACGUCGGAUGUGAAAACCCGGGGCUCAACCCCGGGCCUGCAUUCGAUACGGGCAGGCUAGAGUUCGGCAGGGGAGACUGGAAUUCCUGGUGUAGCGGUGAAAUGCGCAGAUAUCAGGAGGAACACCGGUGGCGAAGGCGGGUCUCUGGGCCGAUACUGACGCUGAGGAGCGAAAGCGUGGGGAGCGAACAGG